AAAUUUUGAUAAAAAAUUCUUGAUACUAUUUAAUGCAAGUUCAAUAUCUCUGAUAAAAAAUUUUAGUGCUAUAUCACCAUUUUUUUGUGAAAUUUUUACUUUCAGCUGUUGAUUUUGAAUAUUUUCGAUCGUCAUAUGAUGACAUUGAAAAAUCGCAAAAUUUAUUUUUUAAAUACUUCAAAUACGCAAUAUCAAGUCUAAUGGAGCCGAUUGUCGAUUCAAAAAAUUCAUCGUCGAAAAUAACUUG
rnacentral:lncRNA from 1 species